rnacentral:tRNA from 1 species
GCGCGCAUAGCUCAGCGGUAGAGCGCUUCGUUGACAUCGAAGAGGCCUAUGGUUCAAUCCCAUAUGCGCGCA